rnacentral:rRNA from 1 species
CGGAGGAUCCGAGCGUUAUCCGGAUUUAUUGGGUUUAAAGGGUGCGCAGGCGGGAGAUUAAGUCGGCGGUGAAAUUUUGCAGCUCAACUGUAAAAGUGCCUUCGAUACUGGUUUCCUUGAGUGUGGAUGAAGUAGGCGGAAUUUGUGGUGUAGCGGUGAAAUGCAUAGAUAUCACGAGGAACUCCGAUUGCGCAGGCAGCUUACUAAACUACUACUGACGCUCAGGCGACGAAGGACGUGGGGAGUCAAACACGGAUUAGAUACCCU